rnacentral:lncRNA from 1 species
CAUGAAUUUCCUUGGAGUCCACAUUCUUGCAGUUUUUCCACCUAAAAAAAUGUUUCAGAAACUUUGUUUAGGAAACUUUCCCUAGUGUAUCAAGGCCUUACGUUAUAUUCAAAGUUUAAAAAAUUGCGGCCUGUUUGUAGAUUACUUUAUUAACGUCGGUUAUCGUCGAUACCGGGAUGUUAUUUUCUUACUUUGAACGUGAUUUUUUGGCCCCAUGUAAUGUUAAGCCAGUUGUCAAACCGACUGGGCAACACAGGCUAAAGUACAUGAACCAUUACCCGGCCUGCAUUAACCUGCACUGACCUGCAUUAACCUGCACUGACCUGCAUUGACCUGCGACCUGCAGUUUAGACCCUCCGUUACGGCGCUAGCUAUCUUGCUCAUUCUUUGACUCUCAUUGAGAUUGGGGAUCCCCUCACUGUAUUUUGAAAGUCAUUUAAAACACCUUCCCGUGGAUUUUCAAACAAUUUUUUUCACCCUCUCCCCUGGACUUCCAAGACCCCCUCCCCUGGAUUUCCGAGCAAUUUUAUCGACCCCUCUCCUGGAUUUCCAAGCGAUUUUAUCGACCCCUCCCCUGGAUUUCCAAGCGAUUUUAUCGACCCCCUCCCUGGAUUUCCAAGUGACUUUAUCGAUCCCCUCCCGGCCUGGAUUUCCAAGCAAUUUUGUC